GACGAACGCUGGCGGCGUGCUUAACACAUGCAAGUCGAACGGAAAGGCCCUGCUUUUGUGGGGUGCUCGAGUGGCGAACGGGUGAGUAACACGUGAGUAACCUGCCCUUGACUUUGGGAUAACUUCAGGAAACUGGGGCUAAUACCGGAUAGGAGCUCCUGCUGCAUGGUGGGGGUUGGAAAGUUUCGGCGGUUGGGGAUGGACUCGCGGCUUAUCAGCUUGUUGGUGGGGUAGUGGCUUACCAAGGCUUUGACGGGUAGCCGGCCUGAGAGGGUGACCGGCCACAUUGGGACUGAGAUACGGCCCGGACUCCUACGGGAGGCAGAAGUGGGGAAUAUUGCACAAUGGGCGGAAGCCUGAUGCAGCAACGCCGCGUGCGGGAUGACGGCCUUCGGGUUGUAAACCGCUUUCGCCUGUGACGAAGCGUGAGUGACGGUAAUGGGUAAAGAAGCACCGGCUAACUACGUG
rnacentral:rRNA from 1 species